GGCGCGUUAGCCAAGUGGUAAGGCAUCCGGCUUUCUACCGGAGAUUACACGAGUUCGAACCUCGUACGCGCUA
rnacentral:tRNA from 1 species